UACGAAGGGGGCUAGCGUUGUUCGGAAUCACUGGGCGUAAAGGGCGCGUAGGCGGCUUUGUAAGUCGGGGGUGAAAGCCUGUGGCUCAACCACAGAAUUGCCUUCGAUACUGCAUGGCUUGAGACCGGAAGAGGUUAGUGGAACUGCGAGUGUAGAGGUGAAAUCGUAGAUAUUCGCAAGAACACCAGUGGCGAAGGCGGCUGACUGGUCCGGAUCUGACGCUGAGGCGCGAAAGCGUGGGGAGCAAACA
rnacentral:rRNA from 1 species